AGAGUUUGAUCAUGGCUCAGGAUGAACGCUGGCGGUAUGCUUAACACAUGCAAGUCGAACGGUCUCUUCGGAGAUAGUGGCGGACGGGUGAGUAACGCGUGAGAAUCUGCCUCUAGGUCGGGGACAACAGUUGGAAACGACUGCUAAUCCCGGAUGAGCCAUAUGGUAAAAGAUUAAUUGCCAAGAGAGGAGCUCGCGUCCGAUUAGUUAGUUGGUGGGGUAAGAGCCUACCAAGACGGCGAUCGGUAGCUGGUCUGAGAGGAUGACCAGCCACACUGGGACUGAGACACGGCCCAGACUCCUACGGGAGGCAGCAGUGGGGAAUUUUCCGCAAUGGGCGAAAGCCUGACGGAGCAAUACCGCGUGCGGGAGGAAGGCCUUUGGGUCGUAAACCGCUUUUCUCAGGGAAGAAGUUCUGACGGUACCUGAGGAAAAAGCCUCGGCUAACUCCGUGCCAGCAGCCGCGGUAAUACGGAGGAGGCAAGCGUUAUCCGGAAUUAUUGGGCGUAAAGCGUCCGCAGGUGGUCUUGUAAGUCUGCUGUCAAAUACAGAAGCUCAACUUCUGGUCGGCAGUGGAAACUGCAAAACUAGAGUACAGUAGGGGUAGAGGGAAUUCCCAGUGUAGCGGUGAAAUGCGUAGAGAUUGGGAAGAACACCGGUGGCGAAAGCGCUCUACUGGGCUGU
rnacentral:rRNA from 1 species